rnacentral:tRNA from 3 species
GGGGUAUAGCUCAGUUGGGAGAGCGCUUGAAUGGCAUUCAAGAGGUCAUGGGUUCGAAUCCCACUAUCUCC